AUAACAGCUAUAAUUUACUUGAUCUUGACACAAUCCUACUUGGAUAACUGUGGUAAUUCUAGAGCUAAUACAUGCAUUAAAGCUCUGACCUCACGGGAAGAGUGCAUUUAUUAGAACAAAACCAAGCGGCUUCGGCUGUUUCUGGUUGACUCAUAGUAACUGAGCUGAUCGCAUGGUCUUGCACCGGCGACGUGUCUUUCAAGUAUCUGCCGUAUCAACUUUCGAUGGUAGUGUAUCUGACUACCAUGGUGAUCACGCGUAACGGAGAAUAAGGGUUCGGCUCCGGAGAGUUCGCCUGAGAAAUCGCGAACACAUCUAAGGAAGGCAGCAGGCGCGAAAAUUACCCACUCUCAGCACGAGGAGGUAGUGACGAAAAAUAACGAGACCGUUCUCUUAUGAGGCCGGUCAUCGGAAUGGGUACAAUUUAAACCCUUUAACGAGUUUCUAUGAGAGGGCAAGUCUGGUGCCAGCAG
rnacentral:rRNA from 1 species